rnacentral:rRNA from 1 species
GUCUACAGCCAAACCAACCCUGAACUUGCCAGAUCUUGUCUGAUCUUCAAGUUAAGCAGGUUUGGGCCUAGUUAGUACUUAGAUGGGAGAUCACACCACUGCACUCUAGCUCUAGCCU